AAAUGGAAGCCUUGAUUCUAUAUCCUGCUUUACCCAGGGUAGUCCUUAAGGACCGAGACUUCAGGCUUUCAGCUGCCUGCCCUCAGCUGUGAAUGCCUGAUUGGAAAGGGGAUGUGUUCCUAACCAGAAAGACAACAGUCAGUCCCUGGGUGUCUGUCAAGGUGGAUGGCAUUGCAAGUAACUGUUUGCCAGUAGUCACCCCGAUAUUGAACAUGGAUAUCCUCGGAUGUGCAGCUGUAGGUAUCAUAGUUAGCCAAGAACAUUGUGCUUACAGAUCUGAGCAACUUGGACAGAAAUCCUCCUUCACCAGCCAGAAGUCAUGAAACCAAAGGCAGAAAUCAGCAUAAGGAGACCAGGCACCUCAGACUGAUGGCAGAGUUAAUCUUCAGAGCCCAUUAAGGUAAAUAAAGGCUUCUUCUGUUCUGUUCUGGACUUGGAGAGAAAAUUCAGUAGCAGUUGGGGCCUUUCUUUGAAAUGACAAGAAGCCAACUAUUCAUCAGAAUAUGAAGUGUUGGAAAGCCAUGGAUGGCAAUAUCCUGUAGCAGCAGGUGCAGAGGCUGGUUAGCCCGAGUAGGGGAAGAUGUAAAAGGUGAGAAAAAUAUCAAUCUGUGAGCAGCAGAAUGCUCCCAGGGCAGGCUGUGGAGAAGGGCGCUCUGAACAGAUUCUCGACUGUCCUCCUGCCACUCCUAUAUCAAUAUUUUUGGAGAGAAACUGCUUCUUAAGAAAACCAAUUAAAGAGAACUGAGUGCAAAAGCAACACUGUUCUGCAGUUACAGGCUGUGUGACGGCAACCAGAAGACAGGUUUU